rnacentral:rRNA from 1 species
AUUGAACGCUGGCGGCAGGCCUAACACAUGCAAGUCGAACGAGUGGCGGACGGGUGAGUAAUGUCUGGGAAACUGCCCGAUGGAGGGGGAUAACUACUGGAAACAGUAGCUAAUACCGCAUACCCUCGGAUGUGCCCAGAUGGGAUUAGCUAGUAGGUGUGGUAACGGCUCACCGGGGCGACGUGCCCUAGAUGGUCUGAGAGGAUGACCAGCCACACGGGAAUUGAGACACGGUCCAGACUCCUACGGGAGUCAGAAGUGGGGAAUAUUGCACAAUGGGCGCAAUCCUGAUGCCGCCAUGCCGCGUGUAUGAAGAAGGCCUUCGGGUGGUAAAGUACGUUCAGCGAGGAGGCGUUACUCGCAGAAGAAGCACCGGCUAACUCCGUGCCAGCAGCCGCGGUAAUUC